rnacentral:rRNA from 1 species
UGAGGGCCAACGCCCGCUGUGAUGGGUAGGGGAGCGUCGUGUGCCGGGUGAAGCAGCCGUGGAAGCGAGUUGUGGACGGUUCACGUGUGAGAAUGCAGGCAUGAGUAGCGAUUCACACGUGGGAAACGUGUGCGCCGAUUGACUAAGGGCUCCUGGGUCAAGCUGAUCUGCCCAGGGUAAGUCGGGCCCUAAGGCGAGGCCGACAGGCGUAGUCGAUGGAUAACCGGUUGAUAUUCCGGUACCCGCUGUGAAGCGUCAAACAUUGACUCCCGUGAUGCUAAGCCCGUGAAGCCGUUCCGGGCAGUUCGGGGAAUGGAAAGUGGUGGAGACGGUGGCCCAAGAUGGUAGUAGGUGAGUGAUGGGGUGACGCAGGAAGGUAGUCCAUCCCGGGCGGUGGUUGUCCCGGGGUAAGGGUGUAGGCCGUGCGAUAGGUAAAUCCGUCGUACAUGUGGCUGAGACCUGAUGCCGAGCCGAUUGUGGUGAAGUGGAUGAUCCUAUGCUGUCGAGAAAAGCCUCUAGCGAGUUUCAUGGCGGCCCGUACCCUAAACCGACUCAGGUGGUCAGGUAGAGAAUACCGAGGCGUUCGGGUGAACUAUGGUUAAGGAACUCGGCAAAAUGCCCCCGUAACUUCGGGAGAAGGGGGGCCAUGUCUGGUGAUGAGUCUUGCACUCUGAGCUGGGUGUGGCCGCAGAGACCAGCGAGAAGCGACUGUUUACUAAAAACACAGGUCCGUGCGAAGCCGUAAGGCGAUGUAUACGGACUGACGCCUGCCCGGUGCUGGAACGUUAAGGGGACCGGUUAGUCACAUUUCGGUGUGGCGAAGCUGAGAACUUAAGCGCCAGUAAACGGCGGUGGUAACUAUAACCAUCCUAAGGUAGCGAAAUUCCUUGUCGGGUAAGUUCCGACCUGCACGAAUGGCGUAACGACUUCUCGACUGUCUCAACCAUAGGCCCGGUGAAAUUGCAUUACGAGUAAAGAUGCUCGUUUCGCGCAGCAGGACGGAAAGACCCCGGGACCUUUACUACAGUUUGAUAUUGGUGUUCGGUUCGGCUUGUGUAGGAUAGGUGGGAGACUGUGAAGCAUGCACGCCAGUGUGUGUGGAGUCGUCGUUGAAAUACCACUCUGGUCGUGCUGGAUGUCUAACCUGGGUCCGUGAUCCGGAUCAGGGACAGUGUCUGAUGGGUAGUUUAACUGGGGCGGUUGCCUCCUAAAGAGUAACGGAGGCGCCCAAAGGUUCCCUCAGCCUGGUUGGUAAUCAGGUGUUGAGUGUAAGUGCACAAGGGAGCUUGACUGUGAGACCGACGGGUCGAGCAGGGACGAAAGUCGGGACUAGUGAUCCGGCGGUGGCUUGUGGAAGCGCCGUCGCUCAACGGAUAAAAGGUACCCCGGGGAUAACAGGCUGAUCUUCCCCAAGAGUCCAUAUCGACGGGAUGGUUUGGCACCUCGAUGUCGGCUCGUCGCAUCCUGGGGCUGGAGUCGGUCCCAAGGGUUGGGCUGUUCGCCCAUUAAAGCGGUACGCGAGCUGGGUUUAGAACGUCGUGAGACAGUUCGGUCCCUAUCCGCUGUGCGCGCAGGAAUAUUGAGAAGGGCUGUCCCUAGUACGAGAGGGCCGGGACGGACGAACCUCUGGUGUGCCAGUUGUUCUGCCAAGGGCAUGGCUGGUUGGCUACGUUCGGGAGGGAUAACCGCUGAAAGCAUCUAAGCGCGAAGCCUGCUUCGAGAUGAGUAUUCCCACCUCCUGGAGAGGGUAAGGCUCCCAGUAGACGACUGGGUUGAUAGGCCGGAUAUGGAAGCCCUGUAAGGGGUGGAGUUGACCGGUACUAAUAGGCCGAGGGCUUGUCCUCAGUUG